CAUGGCCGUCGUCAGUUCGUACUGUGAAGGCAUCCUGUUAAGUCAGGCAACGAGCGAGACCCACGCCAACAGUUGCCAGCAUGUCCUCCGGGAUGAUGGGGACACUGUUGGGACCGCCUCUGCUAAAGAGGAGGAAGGAAUGGGCAACGGUAGGUCAGCAUGCCCCGAAUUAUCCGGGCUACACGCGGGCUACAAUGGUCAGGACAAUGGGUAUCGACACCGAGAGGUGGAGGCAAUCUCCUAAACCUGUCCUUAGUUCGGAUUGUGGGCUGCAACUCGCCCACAUGAAGCUGGAAUCCGUAGUAAUCGCGUUUCAAAAUAGCGCGGUGAAUAUGUCCCUGCUCCUU
rnacentral:rRNA from 1 species